UACAGAGGUCUCAAGCGUUGUUCGGAUUCAUUGGGCGUAAAGAGCUCGUAGGCGGUCUGUUGCGUCCGCUGUGAAAACCCGGGGCUUAACCCUGGGCUGGCAGUGGAUACGGACAGACUAGAGGUAGGUAGGGGAGAAUGGAAUUCCCGGUGUAGCGGUGAAAUGCGCAGAUAUCGGGAGGAACACCGGUGGCGAAGGCGGUUCUCUGGGCCUUACCUGACGCUGAGGAGCGAAAGCGUGGGGAGCGAAACAGG
rnacentral:rRNA from 1 species